GACGAACGCUGGCGGCGUGCUUAACACAUGCAAGUCGAACGGAAAGGCCCUGCUUUUGUGGGUUGCUCGAGUGGCGAACGGGUGAGUAACACGUGAGUAACCUGCCCUUGACUUUGGGAUAACUUCAGGAAACUGGGGCUAAUACCGGAUAGGAGCUCCUGCUGCAUGGUGGGGGUUGGAAAGUUUCGGCGGUUGGGGAUGGACUCGCGGCUUAUCAGCUUGUUGGUGGGGUAGUGGCUUACCAAGGCUUUGACGGGUAGCCGGCCUGGGAGGGUGACCGGCCACAUUGGGACUGAGAUACGGACCAGACUCCUACGGGAGGCAGCAGUGGGGAAUAUUGCACAAUGGGCGGAAGCCUGAUGCAGCAACGCCGCGUGCGGGAUGACGGCCUUCGGGUUGUAAACCGCUUUCGCCUGUGACGAAGCGUGAGUGACGGUAAUGGGUAAAGAAGCACCGGCUAACUACGUG
rnacentral:rRNA from 1 species